GAGGCCAGGAGGAAGUAGUGCAGCGCGGCGGCUGCAGUGACACAGAGGGCACGCAGACCCCAAGAGGACAACCAGGAGUUGACCAGGAACACCAGGUUCAAGCCCAGCAGCGCCAGGCAGAGGUUGAUAAGGAUCUGAGAUGGGUAGUCUCGACGAAGCUUCCUGAGGCAGAAACACAGGCGGACCAUGAAAGGUCAGCUGAUCCUACUGUUGUGGGUAUAAGAUGAUGGAGCGUGACUCGGACUUCUUCAUCCAGGUCUUUGAUGGGGGAGCUGGUGUUGGUCACGCUGGCCGACACCACAAAGGAGUUGAGGGUCCGAUCCUUUUCGCUGCUCUGAAAGUAACAGGAGGCUUGAAGGCGUUGACCCUAUGCGAUCCGACAACACCCCGAAGGUCAAAGUGCCGAACUGGUCAGGAUCUACGUCCACCACUGAGAUGGCGAUGGCUGGAGCGGCCAGUGUGUAGAAGCCCGCGUAGCCCACCAUCUUGUCUCCCACCGCCUCUGUGAUGUUCAGGAUCCUGCAGAGGACGACAGGGACGAGAUGGUAGAGGACAUUCUGUAUCGUUCUCACCACACUGCAGGCUGGAGUCGGACAGCGUUGGUCCCAUCAGAGUGUCCCAGUUGUCCCUCUCCCACUUCAACACGUCCCCGUCUGUACAGUUCACAGACGUCACCUCCUGUUGGCUGCGCUCUCGCUGCCACAGUCGAAACAGAGACACUUUUCCCACCAUGCCGGUGAACGGAAGGAUCUGGAUUAUCCCAUUGUUCAGGAGGUGCGACACACCCAGAGUGAGGGUCCCAUUGGGAGCCAGUUCGUGGCAGGAGGGAGGAGGUGAGGGACAGGUGUCGCUGGAGUGAGCUGAGGGAGAGGAGAAGAGAGAACGGGAGUAUGAUGCACUCAACUUAGCACAGAACCUGAAACAAAAUGUUGAAACGAGAUGAGAUGUUACAACACCAAAUAAAACCCACCUGCCGUCAUGUCCAGCAUUUGGCCAUCGAUGUAAAGAGCAGGCUUGUCUUUGGUGUGAGACCAGGCGAGACACAGCGAAUACCACUGAGACACACUGAGUUUUAUCUGAGGACUCUUCCACUCUCUCCCAAACAGCCAGACCACCAAACGGUCCGGCCGACCCCCCAAGCCCAGCUCAGCAUACUGAACGUCGGGGUGACGGUACAUGAAGGCGGUCCAUGUUGAAGUGACCUGGACCUACAUAUAUUUCAUUACACACACAACAUGAUUCAUGAAUUGAUUUUAUAUAUUCUUUGUAUAUAUAAGUCUAUAUACACAUAUUUAUACAUAUUAUUAUUAUUAUAUUUAUUUAUUAUUAUAUAUACUGUU